rnacentral:rRNA from 1 species
UUUUUGGAGAGUUUGAUCUUGGCUCAGGACGAACGCUGGCGGCGUGCCUAAUACAUGCAAGUCGAGCGCGGGAAGCUAACUGAUUUCCUUCG